rnacentral:sRNA from 1 species
GCCGGGUGCGGUGGCUCAUGCCUGUAAUCCUAGCACUUUGGGAGGCCGAGGCAGGUGGAUUGCCUGAGCUCAGGAGUUCAAGACCAGCCUGGGCAACAUGGCAAAAACCUGCCUCUA